GGAAAAAAAAAAAUACUUUGAAAGCCAUGACCGGAACCCGGAAGUAAUCGCCAUACGUUUCUUUAGUGAAGAGCACAGCUGUUAGGGUGAAAGUGGCGCCUCAAAGAUCCAGAGGUCAUCCUGUGGCUGUGCGUGUACUUCCCUUGUGUGCCUCAUUUAUCACCAGACUGCGUGAAACCCAAAUAGACACAUGCUUCGCUCGCAGUUUUGUAAGUUUACCUACCGAGAGACUUGACACAAACUGUUUAAGUCCAUGGGCACCCAGGAUAACCAUCCAUCACACAAAUGUCAGUCUUUCAGUCAGCCAUCCAGGGACAUUCCUUUACUUUCCCUUAAGAGCAAGAGUGGAUUUCUUGUUGAUGCUUCAGCAAUGAAUCAAUAAUGCACCGGUUCGUAAAAAAUUAACAUUGUUCUGUAAUAGAAAAAAAACAGGUAUACUUCACAUGUUUUAUAUCAAAAUAUUGUACUUUUUGCACAGUAGACACCCAAUCUUUAGAAGCUCCCACCCCAUCGGGAGCGAAGGAAAACUUCUCAGAGGCACAUCCUAAGAAAGAGGUGGGUGUCAGGCAAGCAAACAAAUGAUUCCGAGGAAUCGAUUUACUGGAAACCAGUUCCUAAGAAAAAAAAGUGAUUUUGUGUGUUUUUUGUGAGAGAGACAGGUUUAUGAUACUGAGCGUUUCAGCCUAGAAUGAAUUAGAUUGAAUAAACAUGGAACCACUGGACAUCCGUCGCUGCUUUCUGCUCCCAUCUGGGGGGAGAGGACCGGAAACAGUGUUCAUGAAGCUGGCAGACCACAAAACCAAGACUGCCCAGCUUAACCAGCGCCGCCACCUGAAAGGGUCGAAGAUUUUUUUGAAUGACAACUUGACUCGCCGAAAUGCCGAAAUUGCAAGAAAAGCACGUCAACUCAAGAAAGCUGGGAAAAUGGCCAACACCUGGGUCUCGGAUUGCAGGAUCCUUGUCAAGAUGCAAGAUAUGAAGAUUAAAGCUAUUACGAGUCUUGACCAGCUGAUGAAAAUUAAUGAUGACAUCUGAAACCACACUUCUGGACCACAACUUUUACAAUAGCUGGAUAACUAUUAAUACUACACAGCGGACCAGUAUAACAACUCGUGGAUGUGGACGGUAAACAGAAACUUAUCAACGGCAGGAGUCUCUACAAGAAUCUUGAACACAUUAAGGAUGAUCUACUAAAGAUAACAAAGGCUCUGACUUUAAUUUGCACGGAUAUAACAUGACACGUAAAAACAUAAUUAUCUGCUGUGUCUACCGAGCUCCUGAUUCAAAUGUCUAGUUUACUGAGUAUAUGGAAAAGAUACUGUAUAAAACGAAUAAUAAGCAUGUUUUUCGCUGUGGAGACAUCAUGUCUGAUGAAAUUGUUACAGUGAUCUUUGUGUGCGCCAAUUGUUGCCACCAUGUACACCUUAGCAAUGUAUCCUUUUAAGAGACUUAUAAGAAAAGCAUUUUGAGUCGCUACUCACACCAGCUGUGAUAACACAUAAUCACUUUUGCCACACACAUAGCCACAACAAAAUGAUCCCACAGCAAACAGCUGCAAAAAUGUCAGGGACAUGACAGAGCCAUAACCUUGUGUGCCCUGAAAUUAAUCGAGCUGCUUGACUGGACGCUGAGUUACUAAACCCAGAUUGUUUAUUGUACAGUUUUGUGGCCAUCUGAUGUAUGUACCAUGUCUGAAUGUGCGUCUUUAGUUGUAUGGGGACGGGAAACUGAUAAGCAUAUGCUUCUUCCCGGUUCCUUCGGGAAUUUCAUAUCACAUUUUGUAAUUGUCAAUGAUUGUCAAUGAUACCGAUGAUGAUGACAAUAAAAUUAUUCAAAACAAAUGAUUCAGAUUAAUUCAUACAAUUUCUUCCCAACAGGAACAUUUUCUUCAAGUCAAACAAGUUAUGAAAUCAACUCUAGUGUCAUGGAACAAUUUAUGUACCCUAAUUUUCGGACUAUAAGCCGCUACUUUUUUCUCUCAUUUUGAAUCCUGCGGUUUAUAGUCUAGUGCUGAUAAUUUGUUGAUUUAUGUGGGUUAAUAUGUAAUAGGGUUGUUCCGAUCAUGUUUUUUUGCUCCCGAUCCGAUCCCGAUCGUUUUAGUUUGAGUAUCUGCCGUUCCCG